rnacentral:rRNA from 1 species
CGGACGGGUGAGUAACACGUGGGUAACCUGCCUGUAAGACUGGGAUAACUCCGGGAAACCGGGGCUAAUACCGGAUGCUUGUUUGAACCGCAUGGUUCAAACAUAAAAGGUGGCUUCGGCUACCACUUACAGAUGGACCCCCGGCGCAUUAGCUAGUUGGUGAGGUAAUGGCUCACCAAGGCAACGAUGCGUAGCCGACCUGAGAGGGUGAUCGGCCACACUGGGACUGAGACACGGCCCAGACUCCUACGGGAGGCAGCAGUAGGGAAUCUUCCGCAAUGGACGAAAGUCUGACGGAGCAACGCCGCGUGAGUGAUGAAGGUUUUCGGAUCGUAAAGCUCUGUUGUUAGGGAAGAACAAGUGCCGUUCAAAUAGGGCGGCACCUUGACGGUACCUAACCAGAAAGCCACGGCUAACUACGUGCCAGCAGCCGCGGUAAUACGUAGGUGGCAAGCGUUGUCCGGAAUUAUUGGGCGUAAAGGGCUCGCAGGCGGUUUCUUAAGUCUGAUGUGAAAGCCCCCGGCUCAACCGGGGAGGGUCAUUGGAAACUGGGGAACUUGAGUGCAGAAGAGGAGAGUGGAAUUCCACGUGUAGCGGUGAAAUGCGUAGAGAUGUGGAGGAACACCAGUGGCGAAGGCGACUCUCUGGUCUGUAACUGACGCUGAGGAGCGAAAGCGUGGGGAGCGAACAGGAUUAGAUACCCUGGUAGUCCACGCCGUAAACGAUGAGUGCUAAGUGUUAGGGGGUUUCCGCCCCUUAGUGCUGCAGCUAACGCAUUAAGCACUCCGCCUGGGGAGUACGGUCGCAAGACUGAAACUCAAAGGAAUUGACGGGGGCCCGCACAAGCGGUGGAGCAUGUGGUUUAAUUCGAAGCAACGCGAAGAACCUUACCAGGUCUUGACAUCCUCUGACACCCCUAGAGAUAGGGCUUCCCCUUCGGGGGCAGAGUGACAGGUGGUGCAUGGUUGUCGUCAGCUCGUGUCGUGAGAUGUUGGGUUAAGUCCCGCAACGAGCGCAACCCUUGAUCUUAGUUGCCAGCAUUCAGUUGGGCACUCUAAGGUGACUGCCGGUGACAAACCGGAGGAAGGUGGGGAUGACGUCAAAUCAUCAUGCCCCUUCUGGCCUGGGCUCCCCGCGUGCUACAGUGGUCGGUAAGGGGGCUGCGUGUCCGCGGGGUUGG